UUUAAGUGGUCUGCGGUGAAAAAACGUUUCGUUCGUGGGCUGACGCACGGGCUCUCCUCCCCACGCGCAGCGCCCCCCGAGCUCCAGAUCGGGAGGGGAGCUCCCGAUCCAGAGCCCCUCGCCGCCCCGCUGCCUUCGCGCUCGGCCUCGCCACCGGCCGCCGCGCCGCCGUCGACCAUAGCCGGACCUCCACGCCUCGCGCCCCCUCUUAUGGAGCAGCCAUGGCCACCGGCCGCCGCGCCGCCCACCACGACGAGCUGCUCAGCACUCUCCUCGCCGCCGCGGGCAACGGCCGGGAGGAGGAGGAGGACGCGCGGGAGGCGCGGCAGCGUCAGAAUCAACGCGUCGAAUCCGGCCUCGGCUUACGGCGACACGGACGUGGAGGCUCUGGCUGCGACCGCCGCACUUUAUGCCCCGACCCUGCUCGCCGAGCCCUGCCGCUCCGGUUCUCCAUCCAUGUACGCUGUCGGGGACUUGCAGGUCCAAGCUUGCUGCUAUCAUCUUCAAUUUGCAGAAGAAAGUUGGGUCCUCACGGAGGGAAGGAAGGAUGUUUGCUAAUGUGGUUGGGUGGCUUUCUGUUUUUGGAAGGAGGAAGGUUUAUUCAGUCCAUCCUCCUGCCUCUCCCUGCACAAAAAAUGGUUCAUCCUUCAUUGGUAUGUUUGCAGCUAUGGAGGAGGUGAACGCAGAGACAACUGCGGGCUAGCUGCAGCUUCUGUUUGAGCAGAGGCGAUCGUUCCUUGCCGGAAUCGUAUUUCAGGUGAACCUCUCUGAAUUUUUCCACAUGUUUACAAGUAUCAGCCUGUGGUAUGCAGCUGCUCUGUUAGUUGUCUCUAUUAUUCUGAUGUCUCACCCCUUUUUUUGUUGCAAUUUUUUAGCUCUGCAUUGUAUAAUUGCUGCUAAUUCAAGUAUUGGAUUUUGUGCUUUACGGGAAACCACUUGAUCUGACCCCAAAACAGGAGAAAAUUAUGUAUAACAAGGCCAAUGAAAUCAAUGGGUACAUGAGAGGCUGCUCGACCGCAGCUUCUGGAUCAGGUCAACGCGGCUGCUCGAGAGGCUGGGGACGACGCAUCUGCUCGGUGCAGAAUGGCGGUGGCGGGAUCCAGCGGGCGCGGGAGAAUGAGGGAUCCGGCGCCGUGGGCGAAGUCCUUGCAGCUGGAGGCGGGCCUCCAUGGCUGGCAGGGAGAGCUCCAAGGUCAUGGCGGGGCUUUGAUUUUUCUGGUAGAAAAGAGAGACAGAGGAGGAUCCAGGGAGGAGGAGAGGUAGGAGAAGAAGGAAGGGUGCGGCAGGGUGCAGCGGUGCGAGGGCACUGGUCUCCCGCGUGAGGAGCGCCUCUCCUUGGGAGGAUCUGGAGGGAGUGAGUGAAACUCAAAUCCACUUCAGAGCAAGGUACUGUUGUAGAAGUACGAAGAAGCAAGCUGACCAGAUGUACAAGUAGUAGCCGGCAACGACGAUGAAGCAAGCCAACCAGAUGUGCACGAAACGACCAUACAUCAUGCCUGAUUGAUCCUCCGGUACGUGUUUCAUUGGCCAAUAGCCCAUGCUAGCUAGCUAGCAACCAUGUAAAUUUCCCACGCUUGAUUUAUUCCUUUAGGACUUUAUUAAUUUUAUAUGUUCUUCCCAUGAUUAUCUGGAUAAUACUAACUGUUGAUGUUUCUUUCACGCAUACAUGGCUUUGCUAGGAGUUUUUCCACUGGUGAGGUCUGAACUCUGAAUACUAUGAACUUAAGGAUAAAUCUUAUAGCAGAUCAAAAUCAUGGUCCACGCAAAAAAAAAAGAGAGAUCAGAAUCAUGGUUGUGCUGAUUCCAUAGGGGCCUCAUGAUGGUUUGUGUUCUUUUAUUCAAAUGAAAAAACCAAGAUUAUUAUUGUAACUGUUACAGUUGUACUAGCAGGAUUAUCCUAGAAGCUGUGCCAAUUUUUCAUCAAUUGAUAACACAGUAAGCAUGUUAAAGUCCAGCAAUUGACUUGGCUUAUUGUUUUGGAAAUCGCAACCGGUGCUUUCCUGCUUGUUUUUGUGAUCACUUGUGUUGUUACUGCCUCCAGAAGCUGCAAUCUAAAGCCUUCUAUAAGAAUAUCAUCACAGAGUAGAUCAAAAAGUUGGAGCGACGAGAUAACAGCACUGAUUGGCUGGUAUUAAGUUUAUAAAAUAAAUUGAUUAUUUUGUCUAACAUAUAUUGUCGCUAAUGUGUUCAUGCUUUCCUCAGAUUCUGAUAUGCUGAAAAUUUGCCAAAGUUAUCGUUGGUUGUUUUUCAUCCUGGUCUUCUUGUUUCUUUCAGUUCAUCAUCCGCAAGAUCUACAUCAUCAUCUUUGGGUCAGUUUGCCAUGAAGGCCAUUCUGCGAACGAGGUUGUUCAUGUCCCUCCUCAUGUACAGUUGUACUUCUAUUCUAGGAUUUCAACUCUGCACUCCAUUCCGCAUCCUGAAUAUUCAGAGUCUCGAGUUUGCAUGAGUCUCGAUUUGAUUAAAUGAACAGGUCAGUAAGAUAGAUUUUUGGUCGAGGAUAGAUUUUUGAUCGUGUGUGGGAUGAGAGGGAAUACUUAUCGGGUUAGGGUCGUGACAUUUUUUCUCCCCUUGCAACGCACGGGCAUUUUUGCUAGUGAUAUAUAAAUGAGAUACGUAUUACAGUGAAAAAAAAGCACAACCCAGCAUCAAUUAAUAGAUGUAGAGGUCACAACGGCGUAUGCUCCAGAUGACGUGCCUUCGACGCAGAUCAAACGCACUAUGCAGUCCACAAACUUCCCGAUGUUCGUAUUCCCAUUGCUUCACGUCUACCACCAAGGCCUUGUUGAUUCGUACAUCUGUCUAUGCUUCGCCAUUAUGAGCUGGAUACUAAUUGUUUUUCUGGGAUAAAAUUUUUGUUGGAGGAAUUUUUCUGGAUAAGAAUUUGUGUAGCAAUAUGUCAUGACAAUCUCUGGUGGCGUCAUGUCACUCUCGAUUUUCCGUAUUUUCGUCUGCCUAGUUUUUUUUGGACUUUUUGUAUGGUGCAAUGGGUGUCUCAGUAGCCAACUAUUGUAUGGUUCAAACACUUCUUGUUGGAUCGCCCAUACGUGGUGGUCCAUGUCUUAAGCAAGUCAAGCUCCGGUGCACCAAAAACGUCCUCAUCGAUGACAACCUUCAAAAAGGCAGGAAUAUGGUACUAACAUUUGCAACCAAUAGAUAGUUUGUGAUAAAUAUCCCAGAAGGACGCGCAUACAUGGCGAACGUUCGCCAGGAGCAGGGUGGCAGGCGAACGUCUUCAGGUGGCAGUUUUAGUGCAUUUUAUGGGGGCAGGGGUGGCAGUUUUUAGAAAUUGCCAUGGCAGUUUCUUCCUUUAAGAGUGCUUUUUUGUCUUUUCUGCAAAAAAACUACCAUCAAUUGGAUGAAGAUCGUGUGGUUCAGAGGUGGUUCACUGGCAUUUCGUUCCCAGCUGGUAUUUCUGUAAUUUUACUUGGUAAGUCAAUAUAAGGAAACAUACAUACAAUAGGUUGGACGAAGGACGAGUGGACACAUUUUUCUUAUGUAGGGGAGAUUUAAGUUGACACUGUUUAGAACAUUCACGUGACAACAUUAGUGUGCGUGUAUAUUUUUAUUACAAGUACAACCUUACAUGUAUUUGAAAAGAGAAAUUAUUGUGCUUGUAAAUUGUAAUACAAAGUAUGAAUGUCGCCCCCUUUGUUCCAAA